AUGACGAGUCCCAAAUAGGACGAAAUGCGCAUCCUGGAU
rnacentral:hammerhead_ribozyme from 1 species